rnacentral:tRNA from 1 species
CGGUUAGCUCAAUGGUAGAGCAGUUGACUCUUAAUCAAUUGGUUACAGGUUCGAGUCCUGCACC